GUGACAUUCAACAGGAGUUUCAGGAAGUGGUUUAUUUAGUGAUAUUUGAGCAACAAUAAAAAUAUAAGUAACAGAGCAGUGAAAACACAAGAUGUUGAGGAAGCUGAAGUUACACUUUGUUUUUAGUCGCACUCAUCUGGAAACCUGGGCUCGGACUACACAGAUUUGACCUCCAAAGGAGACAGAAGACGGCUCACUGUGGCAAAUAAUCUGCUGAAGAUGGAUGGCUGCCAUGCCGCCGUCUCCAGGAGCAGUGGAACCAUCAGUUCCAGGAAAAGCAAACUGAUGUUUGUUUCUUCAGUUUAACCGAUGAUUCAUUGGAUUUUUGGUCCCAACACUGAAGACCUACCACUGAAGCGGGG